AGCGGCGGACGGGUUAGUAACGCGUGGGAACGUACCCAGAUCUACGGAAUAGCCUCGGGAAACUGAGAGUAAUACCGUAUACGCCCUUCGGGGGAAAGAUUUAUCGGAUUUGGAUCGGCCCGCGUAAGAUUAGAUAGUUGGUGGGGUAAUGGCCUACCAAGUCUACGAUCUUUAGCUGGUUUGAGAGGAUGAUCAGCAACACUGGGACUGAGACACGGCCCAGACUCCUACGGGAGGCAGCAGUGGGGAAUCUUAGACAAUGGGCGCAAGCCUGACCUAGCGAUGCCGCGUGAGUGAUGAAGGCCUUAGGGUCGUAAAGCUCUUUCGCCUGUGAAGAUAAUGACGGUAGCAGGUAAAGAAACCCCGGCUAACUCCGUGCCAGCAGCCGCGGUAAUACGGAGGGGGUUAGCGUUGUUCGGAAUUACUGGGCGUAAAGCGCACGUAGGCGGACUAGUCAGUCAGAGGUGAAAUCCCAGGGCUCAACCCUGGAACUGCCUUUGAUACUGCUAGUCUUGAGUUCGAGAGAGGUAAGUGGAAUUCCGAGUGUAGAGGUGAAAUUCGUAGAUAUUCGGAGGAACACCAGUGGCGAAGGCGGCUUACUGGCUCGAUACUGACGCUGAGGUGCGAAAGUGUGGGGAGCAAACAGGAUUAGAUACCCUGGUAGUCCACACCGUAAACGAUGAAUGCCAGACGUCGGGUA
rnacentral:rRNA from 1 species